AGGGAGGGAGGGAGGGAGGGAAAGAAGGAAGAGGUCGGAGUCGCGCUCCUCGUUUUGACAGACGCGGCCAGUUGCUGCGAAAGCCGGGACACCCGAGCCGCCCAAACAAGCAGUGCCGGGUCUAACGCCUCCUCGGAGAGCGGAGAGAGGAGUAAGAGAGCGAGAGAGGAGCCCGGGUUGCAAAGCCGCCCACCCACGCAAAGAGAGAGAGAAGGAGCAAAGGUGGAGCCGACGGUUUGAAUACGGAGAGCAAGGUGAGCUCCCGCUGUUAGCCCCAGCUUAUGCCAACCUAGCAGUUCGAAAACAUGCAAACAUGUGAAUGCUAGACAAUGAAGAAAGCAGAUAUGAAGAAAAUCAAGUCAUUUAAAAUGUGACAUUGGAAGAGACUUUGGUGGCCUGCCUACAGACCUGUAAAUGGGUUUAAAAGCAAAUCAUGCCUGAAUUAGAAGCCAAGAUGACUGAACCAAAAAUGUCAUACAUUGUACAUAUCAUGAGAAGACACAACUCACUAGAAAAGUCAGUGAUGUCUAGUGAAGUAGAAGACAGUGGGAAAAGAGAUAGACCAUAUUCCAAAUGGAUAGAUUCAAUCAAGAAAGCCACAGUCCUGAGUCUGCAUGUCCUGAGUUGGAGAGUAGGUGGGCUGUUGAUGAUAGGAUGACUUGGAAGUCUUUCAUUUAUAGGAUUGCUGCUUUGGAACCAUGUUGGAAGACAGGUGGCAUGUAAAUAAUAUUAAUAAAUAAUAUCCAAUAAUAAUAAAUUGUUGACUUGAUGGUGAUGAACAACAAGGUUUUGUUUACUUGCAUGAGCAGAAAUAGCAGUAGGGUGUGGUGGAUACACGGAGAAGAGAUGAGGCUCCUGUGCAGUUGAGUAGAAGCGUGGUUUCCAUGCAUGUUACUGACAUUUCCUCUUUCAAUAUGUAUUAUAGGUACAGGAACCACAUCCUCCUCCUGUGGCCAUCCAUGACAGUGGGAAUUUUUGCUUACAUCAGAGCUUGCAAUGUGUUGUAGAAAAUGAGGCCCCAUAGGCUUUUGGAUAUUCCAGGAGGGGAAAUUGUGCUUUUAAUAUUUUUCAGGCAGAACAUUAAAUGCUAAACAAGUGCAUUAGAUCAUAUUGUUGUGAGGAGAGAGACUGUAUCAUUAAUGUAUUUCUAGAGCUGUUAUUAGGAAUAGGGUCAUCUUAGGACGGUGGUUCUCCACCUAUUUGCUUGGAUUUUAAUGUAUUUAUUAUUUAUUUUGUGAAUCGUUGGAAUGUUUUUGGUCAAAUGUCUUGUGUUGUUGUUUUCGGGCUUGUCCCUGUUGUAAGCCUCCCCGAGUCCCUUCGGGGAGAUGGGGCGGGAUAUAAAAAUAAAGUUUAUUAUUAUUUUAUUACUAUGGGAGGUGUUUUGGCCUACAACUCCCAGAAAUCCCAGCCAGUUUACGAGAUGUUUUGGGAGUUGAAGGCCAAAACAUUUGGGGACCCACAGGUUGAAAACCACUGUCUUAAGAGAUGAACUUGUGGUUUUGAAACAAUUGGGAAAAAAAGCUUUUAAGAUUCUAGGGAACUGGUACACCAAGCGUGUGCCCACUGGCAGGUCUCUAAAUCACCAGGGUGUUACCAGCAUGAACUGAUCAUAACAUCUUUAUUCCUUGGCAUUACAGUGGUUUAGAAACUUCCUUUCUCAUCCUUUAAGAAUGAAUAGUAUUGUGUGAUUCAUAACUCUUUCAGAAAAAGUUAAUUUCCUUUUCGUGAGUUGCCAUUGCCAAAUGACAGUAAAUUAUGUUUCUUCUGUUGGAAAGGAAAAAGGAAUUUAGAUUAAGCCUGUGGUUUUUUAUGUGGCAGGAUGGAAAAAUUGCAAUCUCAUUUGCCCAGCUUCAUUUUUGUUUGUGUAAGAGGUACUGCUUGCAAUUUAACACCUUGGAACCAGCAAGAGGGGGGUAGUACAAUUGCCUCUCAGAGCCAAUAUUACUUUCCCUGUGGCACCUUAUCAGCAAAAUUGGUUAUGAGAGUGGCUACUCUGAGUUAUCAUACGAUUCUUUUACUGUCUGAAAUACUUUGCCUUAUCUCUGUCUAUUUGUCUCUCUCACUCUGUAUUUCCCCAAACUUAAAUCUUCUUUCUAUCACAGUCUUCUACAACCCCCUGAGUUCUGUGAUCCAGUUCCUUCAAUCAGUUAGAUCAUCAUGAGGAAAAUGCAGCUUCCAAGCUGCAAAGAGUGGUAGGACCUACAUUUGCAGUACCUUAAGUUGUCCAGCACUCUCCCAAAGGCCCUAAAUAAACUUUUAAAAAAUCCAGGUA